rnacentral:lncRNA from 1 species
ACAUUAGCAACCCAUUGAGGAUAAGAAGUAACAGCCAGAAAACCUGCAUCAAAUUGUUUCAUAACCUCGGCUUUGAUUUUCUCAGACAUUUCAGGACGCAUGCGACGAACCUUUUGCUUAACAGGACGACAAUCUUCCCUCGUUGGCAGACGAUGUACUACUAUAUCAGUAUCCAGUCCUGGCAUGUCUUCAUAAGACCAAGCAAAAAUCUCUACAUAGUCAUGCAACAUCUGAAUCAACCUUCUCUUGACAC